rnacentral:rRNA from 1 species
UGAGUAACCUGCCCUUAACUCUGGGAUAAGCCUGGGAAACUGGGUCUAAUACCGGAUAUGACUCCUCAUCGCAUGGUGGGGGGUGGAAAGCUUUAUUGUGGUUUUGGAUGGACUUGCGGCCUAUCAGCUUGUUGGUGAGGUAAUGGCUCACCAAGGCGACGACGGGUAGCCGGCCUGAGAGGGUGACCGGCCACACUGGGACUGAGACACGGCCCAGACUCCUACGGGAGCAG